rnacentral:siRNA from 1 species
UGAAUAGUUUUAGGUGUUGGU